AUUGAACGCUGGCGGCAGGCCUAACACAUGCAAGUCGAGCGAGCGGCGGACGGGUGAGUAAUGUCUGGGAAACUGCCUGAUGGAGGGGGAUAACUACUGGAAACGGUAGCUAAUACCGCAUACCAUCAGAUGUGCCCAGAUGGGAUUAGCUCGUAGGUGGGGUAACGGCUCACCUAGGCGACGAUCCCUAGCUGGUCUGAGAGGAUGACCAGCCACACUGGAACUGAGACACGGUCCAGACUCCUACGGUGGGCAGCAGUGGGGAAUAUUGCACAAUUGGCGCAAGCCUGAUGCAGCCAUGCCGGUUGUGUGAAGAAGGCCUUAUGGUUGUAAAGCACUUUCAGCGAGGAGGCGUUACUCGCAGAAUAAGCACCGGCUAACUCCGUGCCAGCGGCCGCGGUAAUU
rnacentral:rRNA from 1 species